UACUUUCUUUUUUUUAUUAGAACGGCAUAGCUUUUAUUACUGAAGAUCAACUAGCAAGACACUAGUGACCCUAAAUGAUAUAGUACAAAUACAAGAAUAAGAGGCAAAACCAAAUCAAAAUACACUAAACCCCAAACCAAGCAAUUUGUUUUGGCAGUGACACAACAACAAGAAGGAGAUGGCCCUUGGUUUUGGUAUAUUGUUACAGAUUUCGUGCAUCAAACCUUGCAUACUAGGCGACAUGGCAGGUAAGACGAAGCCAAUCCACUUACUAAUCAAACUUCUCGUUUCCGUUGCCAAGUAACAGUUUUUGAAGAUAUGUCUCGUUGUUUCAAUACCAUGUUGACAUUGAAGACAUCUCACAAUAGCAGUGUCAAUUCGCCAGGUAAUGCUUACUAAUACUUCCAUUAUCCGUGAUCGUUUUCCGUCUGUGUUUUUAACAUGUUAACGCUUAAUCAUUUACCUUUAUAUUUGAUCAAAUUUAGAGAAUUACAGUUUGCAUACAAGGUGUUCGAUGAAACGCCAUUCAUCGGAACAACCCCGGUAGCAUGUAAUUUUUUAUUAAAACUUUUGUAUUAUCUUGUCAAACUAUUCGUUUAUAGGGUUAAGACAAAUACGGUAGAUCUAUCUAUGUGUAGAUUUAUCACAAAGUUAUCAAAAAAAACUUUUGGAAAAUUGAGUGAUUCACGUGACCUGGUCAGAAUGUUAUAAAAGCAAUGUGCCAUCGUUACAACAGCUUAUAGAUGUUGCAAGAUGAUGAUAUCUACAAUAAUGAUUGUCUGAUACAAAGGAUAUCUAAACAAACUGGUGAAAAAUUGUAUACGAAAGUUUUUUAUUUGAGUGAAUGUAGAUAGCAAGAGUUGGGUUACAAGUUUAAAACUUUGACUCUUCUUGUAUGUGAUAUGCAAGAGUUUCUAACAAAUAGUUUAAAAAGUUGGAUUAUUUGCAAGAGUGAUCUGUGGAGUUUUGUAAUUUGCCCAUUUGACAUCUUUAGCUUUAUUUUGUAAUACUCAAAACAUGAGAGGUUGAUGGUCACCUAAACCCGGCCCGUUGCCAUCCCUACAUGCCACAGCUCAUUACCCGUAGCAGUGUAAGAUAUCCUUUCAUAGGAUACACCUUGUGGUUUGUGUUGAUAAGUAGAAAACUCACGAUUAGACUAAAUGACGUGAAGUAUGCAUUUGUAAUGAUAUGGCGUGUUGUCGGCGACACGUGAAAUGUCAUGCCAUGUUUCCAACAUCACUAAAACAUGUAAAAUUUACUAAAUCUGGAUAACUUUUUUUCUUUCAAGAUAUAAGAGUUAAAAUUGUAUUUCAAGAGAUGAAAUUAUACGCAGAGCAUUGUUGUUGUACCCGACCCAAUUUAUGAUACUCUGAAAUUUACCUGUCACCCGUGUUGACUCCAUGGUCACUUACCGACCUUGUGUUAUUGCUGCUUCUAUUGUUGGUAGGGUUGUUCACCUGAAUUUGAAUGGUACUACUGAAUGUAUAAAAGUUGUAGUUUCAAAUUUCAUUAGAUUUGUUGUUUUCUAUUUCAAAAAUCAUUAUUGUAAAUCUAUACUUCUUAAAAAUUGGCAGAAUGGUGGAUUGCAAAAGGGAAUUAUAUGUAGAAAAGAAGACCAUAAUGAAUGUUAGUGCGCAUAAAAGUUCAUACAUAAUACUGCACGUUUUAAGUUAUUAUGACCUUAUAUAAUUUCUUAUUAUACUAGAUCGUUGUCACAUAAUUAUUAAGUUGUCACUUUUACUAAUAUAAUAUACUUUGUAUGCAUAUCUCCUUAUCAAGGAGAAAAAUGGCAAAUUGUUCAAUCAAAUUAGUGUGCAAAAGAAGGUAAUCAAGGAUAAAAUUGUGGAGGGUAAAGAUGAGAGUAGUUUCGUUGAAAUUUAAAGAUUGCAGAUUUGCAGGGCUUAUGAGGAGCUAAAAGCUAGGGGGAUGUGUAAAUUUGGCUACUUCGACAUAUAUGUAGAUCUACUUUUUGUAUGUUAAAGCUUUUGUGCAUUAGAUUAUUUUGCAUUGUGUUAUAUAAUGUAGCUUUUUAUUUGAAGUGUAGUAUUAGUUUUAUUGAUAUUAAUGAUGUAGUAUGAAUUGCUAGAGGCUUCUAUACUUGAGGUAUUGGUUUUAAAUGAUGGGUCUAUCCUAUCAUAUUGAUUAAA